CGGAGACUGACAGCGAGAAAGAACUCCCCUGUCUCCUAUCUUCUCACCCUGCCUUGGCGCAGAGCUGUUCCGACACGGAACAGGAUUUAGGAGCCCCUUCCCGAGGCCCGCUGUGGUCAGGACGUCUUCAAGUGGCUGCGGGUCCCUCGCCCCGGGGGUGCCCAUGAAGUGCCAUUUUGUUCCCGAGCACAGAAUGCUGCAUGGUCUUGGAGGCCGAGUCCAGAAGAAUGCGGGCGCUCAGAAGAGUGCGGGGGGGUGGGGAGCAGAGCCAGAGAACCAGUGGUGAGGGAGAGCGGUCCUGCCGGUCGUGUUGGACAGAGGAGUGAGGACGCAACGGUGUUCUUUGCCUCCCCGUGUACACCAAGGAGACCGACCCUAUCCUCCCUUGGAUAUCCUCCCUUGGAGCCCCCUCUUACCAUGUCUGGCUGGCGGCGACCCAGAUGCCACGUGAUGGUCAUUUGAAGACAGGCCUGUCGGAUAUCAGGAAUCCCAAGGUCCAGACGCCUGCCUUCAGGGACCUGGGCUUUCGGCUCUCAUACCUGGCCCUGGUUGAUGGCCCCGUGCUGAGCAGUGCAUGUGAAGACACACAUGGUAAGGAAAUGGCAGAGUUGCUUCUGGGACUGGAAGGAGACGGGGAAACCUGCCAGAGAGGAACAGGAUUGAGGGGCUCCAGUGCGAGAGGAGAGAAAUGCAGGUGAUCGUCUUGGGGGUGUCUACACCAGUCGCGCUCAAACUGCGUGGAUCGAUUUAGCGUAUGUGCGGCCGUCAAGCGGUGCUGCUGUCUGUCAGACCUGUGGGUGCUGCGCUCAGCGAACGACCCAAGCGGGGCCUCCAGGAUCAAGAUGUGAAGGCAGUUUGCACUGGCCCGAAACUUUCCAGAAAGUUCCUGAGAGAUGCCGAGUGUCCUAGAAAGUCCAGAGUCCACGGGAGCAGAGCGGCUACCUGAGGACAAGCAGCCCCUAAUGACAGGAGUGGUCCUUGCAAGAACGAAGGACUUUCGUAGCUUUUAGCCAGUGUCAUGAGGCUGUGUUCUGUCCUUCUGUCCUUUCACAACCCUGCCGUGGUGCUCAGGAUUCUGGAUUCAGGAGGUCAGGAUUCUGGAUGCGCACCCCAGCAUCUGAGGCCAGAGCCAGCCCGCGCACGGAAUCUUUGUGAGCAAGCAGACUUUGCUCUCCCGUGGGACUGACCACAGCCCAGCCGUCUGCCCUGGGACAAGGCUGACAUAGGUGGGGACAGGGCUGACUUCGUGAUGGGGGAGCGUGAGCCCGAAUAGAAGCCUGACCUGUUCCUGAAGACCAGAAGAUUGUGACGCAGGAGCACCCUGAGAGCCAUAAAUCCGUCUGAUCUGUGCUACUCUAGACUCAGAGGGGCCACGGCUACCGGUGGCCAGGCUUGGGGGCGGGAGUGCCGGGAAGCCCCCAGCUGAAACCCCGCGGCUGGAACUUGUGUGCAUAUCUUGCCAACAUUUCCGCUCCUGGCACCUAAAAUGGAAGCUUCCAGACUGGCUCUCCUCCCGGGUGGGUUGUUUCUGGCAAUUACCACUGGAUUUGUCCCUUCUUAGCCGUGUCCCUGUGCAAGAUGUUGAGGACAUUUUUACGCAA